rnacentral:lncRNA from 1 species
AGCCAAUCGGAGAGGCCUGGCGCCUUUAAGGGCCUCCGUGGGCACGUUCUCGCUUCCAUUCGGUCCUCCUUUUGUUAACGCUCUGGCAUCAUGUCUACGCCAGCUCCCGCGCAAUCCGGCGCCAUCGCGCUUUGGGCGAGCAUGGCCAUGGGGAGUAGAGAGGUGGAAACCGAGCUGACGCCUGCCUGACCCUGGCGAUGGUGGCGCGCGCCGGGAAGGACUGAUUGGAGAAUGGCGCCAAAUGGGUAGGAACAGGUCGUGAUGUCCGCCGAAUGUUGUGUAGCAGGCGGGACAAAAGAGCGAUCUCAGGCCUCAUCUCGUCUCUUUUGUAGGUCACGGAUGGCGAGGGGGCACAGGAGCUCUCGAUGUGACCUGGCGCUGUGGAUGUGAUGCACAGCAGCUUGAGUGGGACUGCUCCGCUGUCCUCAUGAGAGAACGCUUUUUCUGAAGAUGGGAGGUGGCUAAUGAAAGAAGGAAUUGUGUUCUCGGUGAUGCCUGGAAGAGAUGCGUGACGUUGGAAGAUGAUUACGAAAUACAGGAAAGGAAUGAAAUCAAAGGAUGUUUUUUGUAAGAGUAACACUUACAGAAAUAUUCAUUAAUUUGAAGAUUUAUAUAAGGCCUGGUGACCUCCGUUAAUUCCUGGGACCCACAGUGUGGAAGAAGAGACCUGACUCCUGAAAGUUGUCUUCUGACCACAUAUACACAAUAUGUAAAUAAAUGUAAUUAAAAAAUCAAAAUAGUAAAACUGAAACAUUAGAA